rfam:Daphnia pulex DAPPTscaffold_420_Cont9475, whole genome shotgun sequence.
GGUCCUAUGGCUUAGAUGUCAAAGCGCCUGCCUAGUAAGCAGGAGUUCACGAGUUCGAGUCUCGUUGGAACCU